AUUGAACGCUGGCGGCAGGCCUAACACAUGCAAGUCGAGCGGAUGAAGGGAGCUUGCUCCUGGAUUCAGCGGCGGACGGGUGAGUAAUGCCUAGGAAUCUGCCUGGUAGUGGGGGAUAACGUCCGGAAACGGGCGCUAAUACCGCAUACGUCCUGAGGGAGCAAGUGGGGGAUCUUCGGACCUCACGCUAUCAGAUGAGCCUAGGUCGGACUAGCUAGUUGGUGGGGUAAAGGCCUACCAAGGCGACGAUCCGUAACUGGUCUGAGAGGAUGAUCAGUCACACUGGAACUGAGACACGGUCCAGACUCCUACGGGAGGCAGCAGUGGGGAAUAUUGGACAAUGGGCGAAAGCCUGAUCCAGCCAUGCCGCGUGUGUGAAGAAGGUCUUCGGAUUGUAAAGCACUUUAAGUUGGGAGGAAGGGCAGUAAGUUAAUACCUUGCUGUUUUGACGUUACCAACAGAAUAAGCACCGGCUAACUUCGUG
rnacentral:rRNA from 1 species